UUAAACUAGGAUUAGAUACCCUAUUAUAUUAAAGUUAAAUUUAUAAAUACUGAAUUAUUAAUAGAUAUUUCUUAAAAUUUAAAGAAUUUGGCGGUAAUUUAGUCUUGUCAGAGGAACCUGUUUUUUAAUCGAUACACCACGUUAUAUCUUACUUAUUUUAAGUAGUUUGUAUACCAUCAUUAGUAGAUAAUUUUAAAAGAACAAAUUAUUAAAAUUAAAUAUAUUAAAAAAAUUAGAUCAAGGUGCAGCUAAUAGAUAAGUUAAAAUGGGUUACAAUAAAAUUUAUUUAUACGAAAUAAUUUAAAAAAAUUAAAUUAUAAAGGUGGAUUUGAUUGUAAUAUAAGCUUAAUAAACUUAUAAGAUAUAAGCUCUAAAUUAUGUACACAUCGCCCGUCACUCUCA
rnacentral:rRNA from 1 species